GACGAACCAUCCAACCGUUAUUCGGAAUUACUGGGCUUAAAGGGUGCGUAGGCUGCGCAGAAAGUUGGGUGUGAAAUCCCUCGGCUUAACCGAGGAACUGCGCCCAAAACUACUGUGCUUGAGGGAGACAGAGGUGAGUGGAACUUAGGGUGGAGCGGUGAAAUGCGUUGAUAUCCUAAGGAACACCCGUGGCGAAAGCGGCUCACUGGGUCUCUUCUGACGCUGAUGCACGAAAGCUAGGGGAGCGAACGGG
rnacentral:rRNA from 1 species